CCCAUUUAAGGUGACAAACAGAGCCAGAAGAGAACAAUUGGUUUAUAUUACUGAAGGAACUACCACAAUCCCUUGCUCAUGUAACAUUCAGAAGUUGUUAUCUCUAUCCUUCAGCUUGUUUUGCAAGCAGCUGCUAGUUUUGUUGGCUUGAAGACCAACAUGGGCUGGGAAGAGAGCUUUGCCUUGGCAAUCAGGAGAUUCUGAAGUCUUAGUGGAACUUUAAGAUGAUGAACUUGGAGUUAAGCUGAGGAGUAGGAUGAUUCUUCUAUUACAUUAAAGGUUUUCCUCCACUUCACAGAGUUUAGAGCUGUCAGAAAAGCAACCCCAGCAGAGCCACGCAGGUUGGGCAGAACAAGGAAGCAGGGCAGGCGGCUGCUGCUUUGUUGCUUCCCGUCUGUCUUGCAGGCAUGCAGGGAACCAGAACACCACAGCCUCCACUAACCAGCCAGUGUCUGAACUUGUACAAGGCACUGAGCUAAGGAUGAGGAAACCACCCAGUCUGUACUGCUAUCUGUGAUGCUACAGGCAGCCCAAGGACCAUGGAUGAAAGGAGCUCCCAUCACCUGCCAUCAACAUACCCCACUGCGGACCUACAGGCAGCUGGCGGUUGUCAACAGACAAAAACAGCUGCACACCAUUCGCCUUGUAGCUGUGCUUCAAACUCAUCACAGAAUAUAAAUAAAUAAAUAAAUAAACAUUCAAAAUAAAGUUUCUUUUUCC